rnacentral:rRNA from 1 species
UGGGGAAUCUUGCGCAAUGGGCGAAAGCCUGACGCAGCAACGCCGCGUGAAGGAUGAAGGUUUUCGGAUCGUAAACUUCUUUGAAUGGGAACGAUUAUGACGGUACCCAUAAAACAAGCACCGGCUAACUACGUGCCAGCAGCCGCGGUGAUACGUAGGGUGCAAGCGUUGUCCGGAUUUAUUGGGCGUAAAGAGCUCGUAGGCGGUUUCGUAAGUCAGCGGUGAAAACUCCAGGCUCAACUUGGAGACGCCCGCUGAUACUGCGAUGACUAGAGUGAGAUAGGGGAACACGGAAUUCCUGGUGUAGCGGUGAAAUGCGCAGAUAUCAGGAGGAACACCAGUGGCGAAGGCGGUGUUCUGGGUCUCAACUGACGCUGAGGAGCGAAAGCGUGGGUAGCAA